CAGCCGUAAACUAUGCGCGUUAGGUGUACUGGUGACCACGAGUCACCGGGGUGCCGAAGGGAAACCGUGAAACGUGCCGCCUGGGAAGUACGGUCGCAAGGCUGAAACUUAAAGGAAUUGGCGGGGGGAGCACCACAAUGGGUGGAGCCUGCGGUUUAAUUGGACUCAACGCCGGAAAUCUCACCGGAUAGGACAGACAUAUGAUAGUCGGGCUGAAGACUCUACUUGAUGAUCUGAGAGGUGGUGCAUGGCGUCAGUGACU
rnacentral:rRNA from 1 species